CUCUACCUCUCUGUUCGUUCAAUCUUCAGGAACACAGAGAGACAGGCAUGGCACCUCCACCUCUUCCUCUCCCUGUAGUGCUAACCGCAGCCAUCCUUUCAACUUGCCACCAACUCAAAAAUUAAAGAGGAAUGUCAGGAGAACUCAUUCAGGAAAUUAAAACUCAACUUCGUUGCUUUAAUUGGACGAACGGAUCCGUGAAACGUUCCUGCACAAUCAGCCAUUAAAGGCCACGGUGAGCUCCCUCGAUCUCCCCAUACCGACCCCCUCUUCCCCUAUAAAUAGGACCCCGGAAAGCACAACAUAUCUCACCAUCCCUAAGCGAGAAACCCCUCUCUGUGUCGCUCUCCUACGCGAGCAAUUGCUCGCCGGAGUUCAACAAUAGCAUCAAAGUCCGACGAGGAUUCCGUCGCGAGCGAGCAGGAGAACGAGAACGCGAGGAUCGAGACUCACUGCCGCCAUGCGCAACUUCAGCCGCUUCUGUCGAGUGAAGGAGAAAGCUCCCGAGAUCCUACAGAGUCCAUUGAAUUCUCCAUCACCAUCUCUCCCCCGUCCGCCAUUCCUAAUUCGCCAGAGCACGCCCGAACCACCAUCUUCCUCAUCACCGGCGACCAACUCCGAUCUUGACAGAUUAAGAGACGAUAGGGUUAUGUUCUACACUCAACGAGCCCAGUAGCGUUGAUGGAGCCUUACUUAGCGACUACGUAUAAUUCCGCUGUAUUAUCUGCCAACUUGAGUUGUGCCUAAGCUAUGAUCCAGGGAUAGCGCAGUAAGCACAGAGACUUGGAUUUUACCAAAUCUGGGUCGUUACAGCUUGUUUGAUUGAGCCUAUUGUAUUUGGUUGUUCUUGCACCAUAUGCCUCCAUACUAUGAAAUGCUCCCUUGUACUCUCUUAUGAUGAGCAUGAUGCAUACACUUGUUGGGUAUUUUACCACACGAAUGAUAGGUUUUGCACUUCCGCUAACCUCAUUUGUUUUUCCGAGUGCUUGUCAUGUUAUUUCGUUUUGAAGGAUUCACAAGGCGGUAACAUGAUGA